UACGAAGGGGGCUAGCGUUGCUCGGAAUCACUGGGCGUAAAGCGCACGUAGGCGGUCUUUUAAGUCAGGGGUGAAAUCCUGGAGCUCAACUCCAGAACUGCCUUUGAUACUGAGAGACUUGAGUCCGGGAGAGGUGAGUGGAACUGCGAGUGUAGAGGUGAAAUUCGUAGAUAUUCGCAAGAACACCAGUGGCGAAGGCGGCUCACUGGCCCGGUACUGACGCUGAGGUGCGAAAGCGUGGGGAGCGAACAGG
rnacentral:rRNA from 1 species